rnacentral:rRNA from 1 species
UACGAACUGUGCGAACGUUAUUCGGAAUCACUGGGCUUACAGGGUGCGUAGGCGGCUUGUUAAGUAGGGUGUGAAAGCCCCCGGCUCAACCGGGGAAUUGCGCCCUAAACUGGCGAGCUGGAGUGAGAUAGGGGUGUGUGGAACUUCCGGUGGAGCGGUGAAAUGUGUUGAUAUCGGAAGGAACGCCGGUGGCGAAAGCGACACACUGGAUCUUGUCUGACGCUGAGGCGCGAAAGCUAGGGGAGCGAACGGG